GAUGAAGAACGUAGCGAAAUGCGAUAAGUAAUGUGAAUUGCAGAAUUCAGUGAAUCAUCGAAUCUUUGAACGCACAUUGCGCCCGCUAGUAUUCUGGCGGGCAUGCCUGUCCGAGCGUCAUUUCAACCCUCAAGCCCCCGGGCUUGGUGUUGGGGAUCGGCGAGCCUCCGCGCCCGCCGUCCCCUAAAUCUAGUGGCGGUCUCGCUGUAGCUUCCUCUGCGUAGUAGCAACACUCGCACUGGAUCGCAGCGCGGCCACGCCGUUAAACCCCCCACUUCUGAAAGUUUGACCUCGGAUCAGGUAGGAAUACCCGCUGAACUUAAGCAUAUCAAUAAGCGGAGGA
rnacentral:misc_RNA from 1 species